rnacentral:rRNA from 1 species
UACGAAGGGGGCUAGCGUUGCUCGGAAUCACUGGGCGUAAAGCGCACGUAGGCGGCUUUGUAAGUCAGAGGUGAAAUCCCGGGGCUCAACCCCGGAACUGCCUUUGAGACUGCAAGGCUCGAAUCCAGGAGAGGUGAGUGGAAUUCCGAGUGUAGAGGUGAAAUUCGUAGAUAUUCGGAAGAACACCAGUGGCGAAGGCGGCUCACUGGACUGGUAUUGACGCUGAGGUGCGAAAGCGUGGGGAGCAAACAGG